GACGAACGCUGGCGGCGUGCUUAACACAUGCAAGUCGAACGGAAAGGCCCUGCUUUUGUGGGGUGCUCGAGUGGCGAACGGGUGAGUAACACGUGAGUAACCUGCCCUUGACUUUGGGAUAACUUCAGGAAACUGGGGCUAAUACCGGAUAGGAGCUCCUGCUGCAUGGUGGGGGUGGGAAAGUUUCGGCGGGUGGGGAUGGACUCGCGGCUUAUCAGCUUGUUGGUGGGGUAGGGGCUUACCAAGGCUUUGACGGGUAGCCGGCCUGAGAGGGUGACCGGCCACAUUGGGACUGAGAUACGGCCCAGACUCCUACGGGAGGCAGCAGUGGGGAAUAUUGCACAAUGGGCGGAAGCCUGAUGCAGCAACGCCGCGUGCGGGAUGACGGCCUUCGGGUUGUAAACCGCUUUCGCCUGUGACGAAGCGUGAGUGACGGUAAUGGGUAAAGAAGCACCGGCUAACUACGUG
rnacentral:rRNA from 1 species